CGCAUCUGUGCAUGCAGCAUAUCAAUAAGCGGAGGAAAAGAAACUAACAAGGAUUCCCUUAGUAACGGCGAGUGAAGCGGGAAGAGCUCAAAUUUGAAAUCUUCAAGGUUUUACCUUGACGAAUUGUAGUUUAAAGAAGUGUUUUCUGUUGAAGUUUUGGUAAAAGUUCUUUGGAAUAGGACAUCAUAGAGGGUGAGAAUCCCGUAUUUGACCAUUAUUUUCAGCUGUGUGAUACACUUUCAAAGAGUCGGAUUGUUUGGGAAUGCAGUCCAAAAUGGGUGGUAAAUUCAUCUAAAGCUAAAUAUUGGCGAGAGACCGAUAGCGAACAAGUACCGUGAGGGAAAGAUGAAAAGAACUUUGAAAAGAGAGUUAAACAGUACGUGAAAUUGUCAAAAGGGAAGCGUUUGACACCAGUGUUGUUUUCUCGAAAAUCAAUUAAAAAGAGUUAGAUUUUGUUGUGUAUUGACCUUAACAGCUUGCAUUUCAAUUUUCUUGCUUUUUUUAAUGCACUUUUCGUUUAACAAGUCAACAUCAGUUUCUUUUGUUGUAAAAAGGUCAUUGGAAGGUGGCUUUCUUUUCGGAGAAAGUGUUUAUAGCCUUUGACUCCUGCAAUCGGAGAGACUGAGGUCUGCAGCGUAGAUCCUUCGGGGUUAGAUACAUUUGUGCUAAGUUAUAGCUUUUUAUAGACAACUUGUUGACUAUGGGAUAUUGUCUUGUAGCUUACUCGCUUAUGCUAUUUUACCUACGCUUAGGAUGUUGACACACGCGCGUGCUCG
rnacentral:rRNA from 1 species